rnacentral:rRNA from 1 species
UGCAAGUCGAACGAGGUGAUUGAAAGCUUGCUUUGAGAACCGAGUAGGCAAACGGGUGAGUAACGCGUAGACAACCUGCCGCAAAGAUGGGGACAACAGUCCGAAAGGACUGCUAAUACCGAAUGUUGUAGCAACCUCCGCAUGGAGGAUGCAUUAAAGAUGGCCUCUACUUGUAAGCUAUCGCUUUGCGAUGGGUCUGCGUCUGAUUAGCUAGUUGGUGGGGUAACGGCCUACCAAGGCGACGAUCAGUAGCCGGUCUGAGAGGAUGAACGGCCACAUUGGAACUGAGACACGGUCCAGACUCCUACGGGAGGCAGCAGUGGGGAAUCUUCCGCAAUGGGCGAAAGCCUGACGGAGCAACGCCGCGUGAGUGAAAGAAGGUCUUCGGAUCGUAAAGCCCUGUUGUCGGGGACGAAUGUACCUUUUGUGAAUAAUGAGAGGUAAUGACGGUACCUGACGAGGAAGCCACGGCUAACUACGUGCCAGCCGCAGC